rnacentral:rRNA from 1 species
UACGGAGGAUGCAAGCGUUAUCCGGAUUUAUUGGGUUUAAAGGGUGCGCAGGUUGUUUGAUAAGUCAGUGGUGAAAGUCUGUCGCUUAACGGUAGGAUUGCCAUUGAUACUGUUAGACUUGAACAUGGAUGAGGUAGGCGGAAUGUGUAGUGUAGCGGUGAGAUGCAUAGAUAUUACACAGAACACCGAUUGCGAAGGCAGCUUACUAAUCCAUCAUUGACGCUGAGGCACGAAAGCGUGGGGAUCAAA